rnacentral:lncRNA from 1 species
CUGCGGCCUGGCGCCGGUUAGUUAGUGUGGUGCAAAAGCCGGAAGGAGACACAUUUGGUCCUGGCCUCCCGGCAGUCACCGUGCCAAGGACGAAUGGACUAUCGCUUGAUUUGGAGUACACUUCCUCCUCUUUAAAGAUUACAGAUGAGGGGGAUCUCGCGUUCUGGGGUGCCCUAAAGCCCUCUUUUGGCAGGGCGCAGUGGCUCACGCCUGUAAUCCCUACACUUUGGGAAGCCGAGGAGGGAGGAUUGCUUGAGCCCAGGAAUUCAAGACAAGCCUGGGCAACAUAGGGAGCCUACCUCUCUCUCUUAAAAAAAAAAAAAAAAAAAAUUAGCCGGCAUCGUGCCGGGCGCCUGUGGUGCUUGUGGUCCCAGCUACUCUGGAGGCUGAGGUGGGAGGAUCGCUUGAUCCCAGGAGGCGGAGUCUGCAGUGAACUGAGAUGAGCCACUGGACUUCAGCCUGGGCAACAGAGCAAGACACUGUCUCUAAGAAAAAUAAAUAACAUAAGGCCCUCUUUUGCCAGGACCAACAAACCGUGAGGGCAGGGACAAACUGACCCAGCCUAAACUGCCUCGCCCUCCCUAAACCCGGGAAAGGGGCUUUACCUGAGUGAACGUAGCAUCUUGCCGUUUUCUUACUGCACAGCUUUACCUUCCCAGGGAUCCGCCCAUUGCCACCUGAGGAAAUGCCUUGGAGUCCAUCUAAUCCCCAGCCCAGCUACUUGGGAGCCUACAGAGCGUACAUUGUCAGAGGAUGCAUCUUCCUUUAGUCUUGGAGGGUUUCUUUUCAAUAUGAUCCCGCUGGUGCAUUCAAGGCUCAAUUCUACACCAAAAACUAGGCCCACUCCUGUCACGAGAACCCCAGGCGUCAGGUCUUCUCACAGGCACCUUGUUCUUGCCCUCAGCAGCCCCCAGGUAUUCACUCUGCAUAUUCUAGAUACUGGGUGCUGGACUUGGGAGGCUACCCACGUGGCACAUGCUUCCCUUAUCCCUGAAGAGCUUAGAGUGUUGUAACUUCUUCACACUACACCUCUUACUUCUUGAAGAUUUCAGUAUCCAGGUAGAUAAUCCUUCCAACAUCCUUUUGGUCUCAUGAAGCCCACUCCUGUCCUCUGCCCUACCUCAGCUUCCCCCUCCCUCCAUGAUCAGACCUUAGACCUUGUCAGGUCCAAGGACUGCAACCCCCACAGUAUCCCACUCUGACCAGGUCUAUCUAUCCUCCUAUCUGUCCAGGUCACUCCCUAUACUGCCCUGAAACAAAACUCCUGCAACCUUACCAGCACCUCCAAUCAAGAUCUUACUACUUGUUCACUGUUUCUUCCUUUAUGACCCUCUCUAGUGAGCCAGCUUAAACUCAAUGGCCAACCAUUCUCAUUGAUCCCUUGCACACCUCCUCAACUCAUGCACCUCCCUGUCAUCUCCUAUCUGCUUGGUAAGAUGGGAGCCCUGGAUAAACCCAGCUCUCCAUCUAUUCCAUGCCACGACGAUGCAACUAAACAUGGCUGGAGGAAAACAGGACCAUGCCAGCCGUCCUCACUUUAAUCAUUCUUUGCCUGGUCUAUUCAAUCUCCCAUUGUUCCAAGUGAGUAUUUCGCACUUCCUCCUCUCUGUUCAAUCCUUCCCACUGCCUCUCCCUUCCUUGCCUCCUGCUUUGCUAAGAGAAUAGAAGUGGUAAAAGUCUUCCACAGACUCCCACGUCCACCUCCACCCAUCCGCCUCUUAUUGCCUCCCUGUGACUGUGGAUGAACAACUGCUAGGUCCACCCAAAGAAUCCUGCACUGGACUGCUGGAUCCCAUCAUCUCUUACUGCUCCAGGGUGUCACUCCAGCCAGCCUAUCCUCUCUGCAACAUCAGCAAUAUUUUCCUUUCUACUGGACUCUUCUCAUCGUCACAUAACAUGCAGCUAUUUCUCUCAUCUUCAAAACAAAGAAAUUACUCGACCCUAUUUCCUAUACCAGGACCUGCACCUUUUCUAUGUUCCCCUUUGCAGCAAAACUUCACAAAAGAACAGUCAAUACAUACUCUGGCCCCUCUCCUAUUCACUUUGAUUCACUUGUCUCACAGGACUCCACCUGCAGCCCUGGAUGCUCUUUCUCAGCUGCUUUUGCUGGUUCCCCUGCUCUCACCUGUUUAAAUUAGAGUGAGGCCAUAGGUUUCGGGCUUCAGUUUUCUUUUCUUCUGUGUCUAUACUUAUUCCCUGGAUGAUCUAAUUCUGUCUCAGUUUUAUAUGCCAUCUGUAUCAGUUAUUGAUAUGUUUUGGGUCUGUCCCUGCCCAAAUUUCGUGUGGAAUUGUAAUCCCCAAUGUUGGAGGUGGGGCCUGGUGGGAGGUGAUUGGAUCAUGGGAGCAGAGUCUUCAUGAAAGGUUUAGCACCAUUCAUCUAGUGCUGUUCUCAUGAUAGAGUUCUCACAAGAUCUGGUUGUUAAAAAGUGUGUAGCACCUCCCCCCACCACCUUUUCCUGCUCCAGCCAUGUAAGACAUGCCUGCUUCUCCUUCACCUUCCACCAUGAUUGAAAGUUUCCUGAGGCCUCCGCAGAAGCUGUCAUGCUUCCUGUACAGCCUGCAGAAUCGUGAGCCAAUUAAACCUCUUUUCUUAUAAAUUGCCUAGUCUCAGGUACUUCUUCAUAGCAGUGAGAGAACGGACUAAUACAGUUAUCAAUUUAUUGCAUCUCUGCUACAAACUCAUUCUUCAUUGCCUGCUCUGCAAAAAUGGAACUGGGCCAUUUAAAUAUUUUCCUCUGACAUUAUGUUAGGUUUUGUCAGUAGAGAGCAAUGGAGAGACUUUGUGGGCGAAAGCAGUCUUUGUUCCUGGUUCUCCUAUGCUCCCUGGCCUGGCUCCUGCAGGUGGGUGACUUCUCCAGAAACACAGUGGCCAGUGCCCAGCAGGUCCCACUCCCCUCACCAGCUCCAGGCAGUUUUGUUAUAGAGUAACUCUUUUGAGACACCGCUCCUUUCCCCAGCACCUAAAGAAGUAUUUCUAGUAAGUUCCAGUGGUAUAGCACCAGUGACUCUCCUGACAUGCAGAGGGCCAUAGCUGGGUUCCUCUGAUGAGGUGUAGGGGCAGUGCACUAGGAGGAGAGGACUCUCCUGGGCUCUCUACCUCAGCCCUAGGCUAGUGGUUGCUCCUCCUAUACUUCCUACUAGUCUGUGCCUGGUUACUCCACUUCCCUGUUGCAAUUAACACUUCUUUAUAUACAUGUUUCCUGUUCAAAUGACU